UUCCUAUUCCCAUUGUUGAAAGGAAACUACUCCUACCAGCUACGACAAGCAAACAAACAAACCAUAGACUAAUAAACUAAAGCAAUGGAUAAACUAUCCCUCGGCUUCCGCGCCGAAGAAGAUUUGCACUGCAAAGAAGACUAAACACUCUACUAACCCCGCUGAAAAGAGCCACAGAAAAAACAGCCUUUUGAUUUGAACUCCAUUCCCACUCUGUCCUCUUCUUUGCUCCUUUUCCUUACCUUUUCUAACUUAUCUUACAAAGCUUUAGAACUUAACCCAUUUCGGCAUUUCCUUCCAUUCCCACUCUGUCCUCUUCUUUGCUCCUUUUCCUUACCUUUUCUAACUUAUCUUACAAAGCUUUAGAACUUAACCCAUUUCGGCAUUUCCUUUGCUUGUACUAGUUGUUACAUUACUACACUUGG
rnacentral:lncRNA from 1 species